rfam:Gossypium arboreum cultivar AKA8401 contig_3277_1, whole genome shotgun sequence.
AAACCAUGAUGAGGACACCUUCUCAGAAGAUCCUUAAAUCUUUCCCAUGCACCAUACAAUGUUUCAAGCUAAAGUUGAGCAAAAGAAGAGAUGUCAUUCCUCAACUU